rnacentral:tRNA from 1 species
GAUUAGAUGGUUGAGUAAAUAAACAGUAGAUUGUAAAUCUAUAAACGAGAUUAAUCUCUUUAAUCA